GGACUUGGAUAACGCUCAGGUGCUGCUUGUUCGUUCCUAGCGCCAAGAGUGUUUAAUUCGGUUGGGUAGUCAGCUCUAGUGCUUGUUUUGGCGUCUCUAGCUCGAUCCUUUAUAGUUUUGCUUUGAGCUGCCUCUGCCUCUGCCUCUGCCGUUCCCCUUCUCCCCAGGCCAAAACCCUCGACCCGCUGGAGGGGGCGGCACCUCCACCCGCGCCGAGCCCCGCGGUGCGCGCGGAGGCGGCACACCCCUCCGAACGGAGCCGAUUCGCGCAGCGGCAGCGCCCCUCCAUCUACUCCUUCUCACCUUUGCCCCGACGGAGCGGCCUACGGGCGCUGGACAAGCUGCCUUACGCCGGCGCGCCGCUGCAUUCCUUUCUCAGCUUUCGGCCCUACUUCCUUGAGCGCUGAUGGAUGUCAAUCUUUAGUUUUCGCGUCCGUUUGUAUACCGCGUAAAGUACCGACGAAAUCACCGCGGUGUAGUAUUCUCCAAAACCUUACGCACACAAAACGGUAGGAGCAACUUGCCGUCAUAUCGUCCCAUUUCAUUUUGGUAAGUGCG
rnacentral:rRNA from 1 species